rnacentral:rRNA from 1 species
GCUGGCGGCGUGCUUAACACAUGCAAGUCGAGUGCGCAGUUCUCUGUAGCAAUACAGGGGAUGGGCGCACGGCGCACGGGUGCGUAACACGUGGGCAAUCUGCCCUCGGAUGGGGGAUAACCCCGCGAAAGCGGGGCUAAUACCGCAUGACAUUCCGAAGACUCCGGUCUUUGGACUCAAAGGCCGCAAGGCCGUCUGAGGAGGAGCCCGCGCCCGAUUAGCUAGUUGGUGAGGUAACGGCUCACCAAGGCUUUGAUCGGUAGCCGGUCUGAGAGGAUGGCCGGCCACACUGGAACUGAGACACGGUCCAGACUCCUACGGGAGGCAGCAGUGGGGAAUAUUGCGCAAUGGGCGAAAGCCUGACGCAGCGACGCCGCGUGGGGGAUGAAGCUUCUCGGAGUGUAAACCCCUUUCGACCCGGACGAAUGACCCGCAAGGGUUUGACGGUACGGGUAUAAGAAGCCCCGGCUAACUACGUGCCAGCAGCCGCGGUAAUACGUAGGGGGCCAGCGUUGCUCGG